rnacentral:rRNA from 1 species
UACAGAGACUGCAAGCGUUAUUCGGAUUCACUGGGCGUAAAGGGUGCGCAGGCGGUCGGGUGUGUCAGAUGUGAAAUCCCGAGGCUCAACCUCGGAACUGCGUCUGAAACUACUCGACUAGAGUACUGGAGAGGGUAACGGAAUUCACGGUGUAGCAGUGAAAUGCGUAGAUAUCGUGAGGAACACCAGAGGCGAAGGCGGCGAUCUGGGUCGAUACUGACGCUGAGGUGCGAAGGCGUGGGGAGCAAACAGG